GACACAGAACACAGCCAAGACCUGGAAAGCGCCCUCAUCCGGCUGGAGGAGGAGCAGCAGAGGAGUGCCAGCCUGGCCCAGGUGAAUGCCAUGCUCCGAGAACAGCUGGACCAGGCAGGCUCGGCCAACCAGGCUCUGAGUGAGGACAUACGAAAGGUGACCAACGACUGGACACGCUGCCGCAAGGAGCUGGAGCACCGGGAGGCGGCAUGGAGGCGCGAGGAGGAGGGACCUGCUGCAGCUGGGAGGGGAGCUGGCCCGGACAUCACGAGCUGUCCAGGAGGCGGGCCUGGGACUGAGCACGGGCCUACGGCUGGCAGAGAGCCGGGCCGAGGCAGCCCUGGAGAAACAGGCCCUGCUGCAGGCCCAGCUGGAGGAGCAGCUGCGGAACAAGGUGCUCCGUGAGAAGGACCUGGUGCAGCAGCAGAUGCAAAGCGACCUGGACAAGGCUGACCUCAGUGCCAGAGUGACAGAGUUGGCCCUGGCAGUGGAGCGUCUUCAGAAGCAGAAUCUGGAGAAGGAUCAGGUCAACAAGGACCUCACUGAGAAGCUUGAGGCCCUGGAAUCCCUGCGGCUACAGGAGCAGGCGGCCCUGGAGACAGAGGAUGGAGAGGGGCUACAGCAGACCCUAAGGGACCUGGCACAGGCCGUCUUGUCAGACUCUGAGAGCGGCGUCCAGCUGAGCGGCUCUGAGCGCACCGCGGAUGCUUCCAAUGGCAGCCUGCGGGGGCUCUCGGGCCAGCGGACCCCGUCCCCACCGCGGCGCUCCUCGCCUGGCCGAGGCCGUUCACCCCGCCGAGGCCCCUCCCCGGCCUGCUCAGACUCCUCCACGCUCGCCCUGAUCCACUCCGCCCUGCACAAGCGCCAGCUGCAGGUCCAGGACAUGCGUGGGCGCUAUGAGGCAAGCCAGGACCUACUGGGCACCCUGCGGAAGCAGCUUAGCGACAGCGAGAGCGAGCGGCGGGCCCUAGAGGAACAGCUGCAGCGCCUGCGGGACAAGACCGAUGGCGCCAUGCAGGCCCACGAGGACGCCCAGCGCGAGGUGCAGCGGCUGCGGAGCGCCAACGAGCUCCUGAGCAGGCUGGGGCACAAUUGGUCCAUCACAGCUCACUGUAGCCUGGAACUCCCAGACUCAAGCGAUCCUCCCACCUCUACCUCCCAACUGCUCCUAGUUGGGGGCCUGGGCCUGGCCUGGGGAAGGAUAUGGGACCGAAGCCUGAGAGUUAGGUUUCCACUCCCUUCCUCUGUGCCCUCAUCACCCUCUGAGCCCUCACCUCCCUGGGUUCCUGGGCAACUCUGAUCUCAGCCUCGAGGAUAGUAGACAAGCCGCCAACAUUUCUAAAUUUUUUGUAGAGAUGGGGGUCUCACUAUGUUGCCCAUGCUGGUCUUGAACUCCUAGCUUCAAUCACUCCUCCCACCUCAGCCUCCCAAAUUGCUGGGAUUACAGACAUAAGCCACUGUGCCUGGCUCUAUUAAAAUUUAAUUAAAAAUUUUAAAAAGUGAAAAUUCAGGCUGGGUGUGGUGGCUCACACCCAGCUUCCUGGCCAACAUGGUGAAACCCUGUUUCUACUAAAAAUACAAAAAUUAACCAGGCAUGGUGGCAUGCUCCUGUAAUCCCAGCUAUUCAGGAGGCUGAGGUGGGAGAAUCACUUGAACCCCGGAGGCAGAGGUUGCAAUGAGCCAGGAUCGUGCCACUGCACUCCAGGCUGGGAGACAGAGCGAGACUCCAUCUCAAAAAAAAAAA
rnacentral:sRNA from 1 species